rnacentral:lncRNA from 10 species
CUCUCCUCCCGGGUCUGCGCGGACGCGGCCUCCUUACCUCAUUUGUCCUCGCCCCUCCCCGUCCCUCUACGCGUUUUGGUCCCUGUUUGGUGCUUUCUGUUUGCAGCUACGGCAGUGAGUAUGUAUGUGACGGACCCCGAGUCACCCGCGGCCUGGGACCCCUGCCUACCCUCCGUCUCGCCAGCCGAGCUGUGGAACUAGCGCGUGCCCCCUCGCCGACCUCGGCGUCUCCGGUCCGCCCCUCACUUGUGGUGGGGCGCAGCUCCUGGUCCCUCAGCUGCGCGCCGCCCCACGCGGCCGGGCUGCGGGUCUAGGGGGUCCGCAUCUCCCUGGCUUUCCAAGGGCUAAGGUCGUGAUUCUAGGGCGGCUGGGCGUCCAGGGCCUCGGUGGGGGUGGCGUGUCUGCCCUUUUUAUCUCCCCGCAAGGCCCCCAGUCUUCUAGGGAAGCCAGUCAGUGAAGCGCGGAGGUCCGGGCGCGCCGAGAGAGAGUCCAGUCUUUGAGGACCGAGUAGUCCUGGGCCACCUCCCGCCUCUGCUGUCAGAAGCAGCAGCUGCCGCCGUGGAAUCCAAAAUUUCGGGAGCUGUGACCCUUUCCUCAUGUAAAACGAGUAGUCUUGGACGGCUGGAGUGUAGUGGCGUGAUCAUAGCUCACUGUCAACUUUGAACACUUGGGCUCAAGCUAUCCUCCCUCAGCCUCCCAAGGUGGGAGGUACAGGUGAGUACUCCAUCCACCUCUGACCUUGGCCCUGUGCUCUCAUUCAACCAAUUCUGUUGGUACUGCCUCUUACUACAAGAUUUGCUUACCCGGGAGUUAGAUAGCAAGCAUGGGAAAUGCCUGGCACACAGAAUAUAUGGAAUUAGUGUUAGGAUUUUAGUAACUUCACAGUCGGAAAGAGGAAAAUAGGAAGAGCUGUUCGUAUAGGGUAGACUAUAGGAGAGAAUGCAAAUUUUGAAAGCUACAUCAUCAAGGAUUAAAAUUUUGCUGCUAGCUUUGUCUCUAUAAUAAUGUGGUCAUCUAGUCUUAAUGCUUAUUCCUUCAAAAAGUUCAUUCUUUUCAUUUUUCUCCCUUUGUGCCUAAUGCUCAAUCUCUUGCACUAGUUUCGGAAGUGGUCUUCUUUUAUGUCUGCCCUAUAUGCUGUUGUUAAAACUGGUAUUGAAAUGCACUUUUAUUCAUGGUACUUUAUUGCUCCAAAAUUUGUAAUGGCAUCCUGCUUCCCCAGGAAACUAUGACACUGAAUGUAGAUCAUACUUGGAGCCCCUGGGAUUGGCAAAUUUUUUUUUUUUAAGAAGCCAGAUAGAAAAUAUUUUAGGUUUCCAAGCCAUAUGAUAUCUUAACUACUCAACUCUGCCCUUGUGGGAAAGCAGCCUUAGAUAAUACCUGUAGAAAUCAGGGUGGCUAUUGUCAAUAAAACCUUACUUACAAAAACAGGUGGCUGGCUCAGACUGUAGUUUGCUAACCCUGAGAACUUGACAGCAAAAAGAAGAGAUAAAUAGUAGUUAAAACAUAAAGCAGAAUCAAAUAAAUUUUUUUUCCAUAUAGGUGAGAUCUGAUAAUGUUUUUAGGUAGAAAGGAAGAAACUUGUGAAGCAGGAGAGACUAAACCUGUUUGAUGUUUUUGGUUGGGGGCCAGGUUAGAGAUAGGAUCGGGUGUAUGUGUUGUUGAAUUAUUCCUAAAAGGGAAGAGAGACACCAGUAAUUGCAAAAUCAUCAAGUAUUUAUAGAGGUAGAGGAGAAAGAAUAAAUUCAGAUGUGUUGAGAUAGAUGAGAGUACCUAUGAGGAUUUGUUUGAUUUGGGAAAAUGAAAGCAGAAGUAGGAGAAGCAGAAGUAGGAGAAAUUCAGAUGUGUUGAGAUAGAUGAGAGUACCUAUGAGGAUUUGUUUGAUUUGGGAAAAUGAAAGCAGAAGUAGGAGA